AGAGUUUGAUCCUGGCUCAGGAUGAACGCUGGCGGCGUGCUUAACACAUGCAAGUCGAACGAUGAUCCCAGCUUGCUGGGGGAUUAGUGGCGAACGGGUGAGUAACACGUGAGUAACCUGCCCUUAACUCUGGGAUAAGCCUGGGAAACUGGGUCUAAUACCGGAUAUGACUCCUCAUCGCAUGGUGGGGGGUGGAAAGCUUUAUUGUGGUUUUGGAUGGACUCGCGGCCUAUCAGCUUGUUGGUGAGGUAAUGGCUCACCAAGGCGACGACGGGUAGCCGGCCUGAGAGGGUGACCGGCCACACUGGGACUGAGACACGGCCCAGACUCCUACGGGAGGCAGCAGUGGGGAAUAUUGCACAAUGGGCGAAAGCCUGAUGCAGCGACGCCGCGUGAGGGAUGACGGCCUUCGGGUUGUAAACCUCUUUCAGUAGGGAAGAAGCGAAAGUGACGGUACCUGCAGAAGAAGCGCCGGCUAACUACGUGCCAGCAGCCGCGGUAAUACGUAGGGCGCAAGCGUUAUCCGGAAUUAUUGGGCGUAAAGAGCUCGUAGGCGGUUUGUCGCGUCUGCCGUGAAAGUCCGGGGCUCAACUCCGGAUCUGCGGUGGGUACGGGCAGGCUAGAGUGAUGUAGGGGAGACUGGAAUUCCUGGUGUAGCGGUGAAAUGCGCAGAUAUCAGGAGGAACACCGAUGGCGAAGGCAGGUCUCUGGGCAUUAACUGACGCUGAGGAGCGAAAGCAUGGGGAGCGAACAGGAUUAGAUACCCCCGUAGUCC
rnacentral:rRNA from 1 species